rnacentral:rRNA from 1 species
UACAGAGGUCCCGAGCGUUGUUCGGAUUCACUGGGCGUAAAGGGUGCGCAGGUGGGCUGGUAAGUUCGAUGUGAAAGCCCCGGGCUUAACCCGGGAACGGCAUUGGAAACUACUGGUCUGGAGGAUUGGAGGGGGGACUGGAAUUCUUGGUGUAGCAGUGAAAUGCGUAGAUAUCAAGAGGAACACCAGUGGCGAAGGCGAGUCCCUGGACAAUACCUGACACUGAGGCACGAAAGCCGGGGGAGCAAACAGG